AAACCUGCGAAACUCGAAUGAACGAACGGAGAGAUUCAUCGUCAUUCCGCGGCGUACGGACGCGCGCCUCGAUGCCGUCGGCUUCGGUCGGUAGGCACGGGUCGCGUCCGUCGACGUCCGCGGACGGCGUGCACUUCUCUCUUAGUAAAUACAUCGCGACCCGUUCGAUGUCGGUCUAAGCGCCGUACGGGAGCCCCGUUGCCCCACUAACCUGGGGUAGCGGGACCGAGACGGUGGCCGACCGGCCGUCGGACGGUAGUUUUGACGAAUCGCGCACGCGUUUUAGACGCGUCCGGCCCGACGCAAGUCAACGUCGUAUCCUAUGUCUACGCCUUAGUGCGGACGCAGGUGCGGCGCGUCUGUUGUCGCCGCCGUGUUGUCUCGGACUGUGCGCGUCUCUGUCUGCGAUGAUUCAGUUUCGGGCACUCGCAGGAC
rnacentral:rRNA from 1 species